rnacentral:misc_RNA from 1 species
GAUGAAGAACGUAGCGAAAUGCGAUACGUAAUGUGAAUUGCAAAUUCAGUGAAUCAUCGAGUCUUUGAACGCACAUUGCGCCCCCUGGUAUUCCGGGGGGCAUGCCUGUCCGAGCGUCAUUGCUGCCCUCAAGCACGGCUUGUGUGUUGGGCCCCGUCCUCCGAUCCCGGGGGACGGGCCCGAAAGGCAGCGGCGGCACCGCGUCCGGUCCUCGAGCGUAUGGGGCUUUGUCACCCGCUCUGUAGGCCCGGCCGGCGCUUGCCGAUCAACCCAAAUUUUUUAUCCAGGUUGACCUCGGAUCAGGUAGUGAUACCCGCUGAACUUAAGCAUAUCAAUAAGCGGAGGA